UUUUUUGCAAUGGUUGACUAAAUAUGGUCAGGGAAGAGAGAGGCAAAAGACAGCCUGGGAGUGGAUGUUUCAAAUGCCUGGCUGCCUAUAAAGCUGAAAUAGUUUUGCUAGUGCCCUGAGUAGCAAAUGGAUUCAUGCUAAACAGCAUGCAUGUGGAAGUCCUGACCUCAAAAGCAGUGAUUGACCUCUAAAAAUGAAAAAUAACUACAAGCAACCUGUCUGGGAACUAAAAUUCAAGCAUGAAGAAAUCAAGUCCUCUAUCUAUGGAGAAAGAAACAAUACUUGCUUGAGAAGGGGGGAUGGAUGAAGGUUCAAGAAACUUAGUUCUAUGCACAACACCUUAAUGGUUAGGAAAACACAACAGAUACCUUAGCUGAAUCAGCGAUAGAGUGAACAUUCAAGAUGAGAUGGCUGCUGCUGAUGUCUCUCUCUAGGUCAUCCAACUGCAAAUGCUGCAUGAUAAGCUUACAGGUAAUAGAGCAUUAGAAGACCUGAAUUAUUCCACAUAUUUAAAGGAUUUAUGUCUGAAUGUAUCUUUUAAUAAUUUGUGUAUUUUUUAUAUUAAUCUCAAUUGCAGCUUAACAUACUAGUAGUGUGCUAAAAUAUCAAGUAUUUCUAGUGUAAAGUGUUAAUAUGGGAAACAAUCAGCUUUAAUUGAGUAAUACCAUAGCUUAAUACUAUUGGACAAGAAAUCUUGUUAAUCGUAUUUUAAGUAUUAUAUCUAAUAAUAUUUUAGCAUUUCAAAAUAAAUUAAUUUUACAGAAAUGCAUUACUCCAUUGUUACUUUUACAUUUCAUUGUGGAUUCAUUUCCAUUAUAUAUAAAAGGGUAGGAUAAGGCAUGAUUUAGUAAUAAAGUACUUUUACUAAGAGAUUAAAAAUAUUAUUUUAGAGCAUGAGCAAUAUAAUUUAAAUUUGAAACAAGCAAGUUGUAAUUGUUCUGCUGCAUUGCUGUUUCUUCUUGUAGAAUUGUGCUAGCUACUGCUAGUCUCUGAUUUGCUCUCUAUCAGCUGCACUAGCUUUUUCUCUUGAGCUGCAGAAACUGAACAACUGGUUUUCUUUAACAUGAUCAACUGGAGUUUUUUUUUCUAAUUUUUGAAAAUAUAAGCUAAUGUAAUUUCAGCACUGGUGAUGGAUCAUCAUCCUCUACCUGAAUUUUGGAAUUAAUUAGAUAAGCUGGUAUGGCAUGAACAGCUUUGCUAUCGACAGAGGAAAUAACCUGGAACACAGAAGGAAGACUUAGACUUGGGCCUGCUGUUGGUGGUCCACAUUCACUCCAGAAUUUACCACCUAAGAAAUUCAUUUCCAUGCCCAGGGUGAAGCUAUAACAAGAACUGGCAAUUCUCAGAUUUGAUAUAAAAACAAUGGAUGAUAUUUCACAAUCUCAAGUACAGGAAGAAAAUGUUCAAAUUUCUCUAGAUGCAAAAAAGCAGAAGGAGGAAGAGGGGGAGAAGAGAAAAAGAUCUUAAGUUCUAUAGUAUAUAGAUUUUCUCCACACGUAUGGCUUUUAUCUUUCUUCAAUAAAGUAUAUUUUUCAAUGUUGUAUUUGUGAGUUUAUGAGGUUGUUUGUAGAGUCAACAUAUAUUGCUUUGUCUGCCAUAAAGUCUAGUGCCAUCUUACUCUGUUGAAACAGCUAGCAUAUUUUAAUAACUUAAGAAAGCAAAACACUGUUUCCCCAAAAUAAGACCCAACCAGAAAAUAAGCCCUAGCAUUUUUCCAGUAUGCUUGUAAUAUAAACCAUACCCCCAAAAUAAGCCUCAGUUAAAAUUGUCAUCUAGUCCAGACGCAUUUAGUACCAUAUUUCUGAGAAAAUAAGACCUAACCAAAAAUAAGUCCUAAUGCGUCUUUUGGAGCAAAAAUUAAUAGAAGACCCAGUCUUAUUAUCGGGGAAACACAGGUAUGAGGUAGUGAUCAUUAACUGAAAGAGCUUUUAAAAGGGGAAAAAAUUAUCAUUUCCUGUUAGCUAUAGUAGCUUAGAGGCAACCUUCAGAUUUAAAUGCAAUUUGUCUAAAAAUAACAGAUACAGAAUGAAAUUAGAUAAUAUGAUUAUAUUUAUGUUUAACUGUUCAUUUUUGGAAUUUUGGGUUAGACUUUGGAUCUUAUCCCUUAUGGCACACAGAUGGGAUCUCAGAGAAUGUUUUUAUCAUCUAUAGAAGUUCAAAAUAUAGUUAAAACUGAUUCUUCACUUUCUGCAUAUGCAACAAAAUAAAGAACUAAAUUAGUAGCAACUACAAGUAGGAUGACAAAAAUGUAUUCAACAUCUUUUCUUUUUCCAUUAAAUUAACAUUGCCUGUCCUAAAACAAAAAUUAAGCUAGUGUCUGAAUAAAAAUACCAUUAAAUUACAAGAUUUCAGUGAAUUGCUAUUAGAUAAUGUAUUUUCCUAUGUAUUACUUUGUAGUUUUCAACCCAAGUUCUGAAGGCCAGUCUUGAAUUAAUGUGCUAACACCAAUCAAAAAUAUUUCCUGGCCUCGAAGCAUGCUAAAAAUAUGCUACUGACAAGUACAACAAACAUGUCCAUGCUAAAUCCAAUAUAACUUUCUCACUUUGGAUUUGAAUACCAUUAAUUGCUAUCAUCUU